UACGGAGGGUGCGAGCGUUGUCCGGAAUCACUGGGCGUAAAGGGCGCGUAGGCGGCGCGGGAAGUCCGUGGUGAAAGCCCGAGGCUCAACUUCGGGUCGGCCAUGGAUACUCCUGGGCUUGAGCACUGUAGAGGCAGGUGGAAUUCCGGGUGUAGCGGUGGAAGUGCGUAGAGAUCCGGAAGAACACCGGUGGCGAAGGCGGCCUGCUGGGCAGUAGCUGACGCUGAGGCGCGACAGCGUGGGGAGCAAACAGG
rnacentral:rRNA from 1 species